rnacentral:rRNA from 1 species
AGGACGAACGCUGGCGGCGUGCCUAAUACAUGCAAGUCGAACGGUCUUUUCUAUGGAAGCUUGCUUCCACUGAGAAGAUAGUGGCGAACGGGUGAGUAACACGUGGGUAACCUGCCCAUAAGAGGGGGGAUAACAUCCGGAAACGGGUGCUAAUACCGCAUAGUUUUCUUGAUCGCAUGAUCGGGAAAGGAAAGACGGCCUUUGUGCUGUCGCUUAUGGAUGGACCCGCGGCGUAUUAGUUAGUUGGUGAGGUAACGGCUCACCAAGACGAUGAUACGUAGCCGACCUGAGAGGGUGAUCGGCCACAUUGGGACUGAGACACGGCCCAAACUCCUACGGGAGGCAGCAGUAGGGAAUCUUCCGCAAUGGACGAAAGUCUGACGGAGCAACGCCGCGUGAGUGAAAGAAGGUUUUCGGAUCGUAAAACUCUGUUGUCAGAGAAGAACAAGUUGGAGAGUAACUGCUCCAGCCUUGACGGUAUCUGACCAGAAAGCCACGGCUAACUACGUGCCAGCCGCGGC